ACGGAAGGCAGCAGUGGGGAAUAUUGCACAAUGGGGGAAACCCUGAUGCAGCGACGCCGCGUGAGUGAAGAAGUAUUUCGGUAUGUAAAGCUCUAUCAGCAGGGAAGAUGAUGACGGUACCUGACUAAGAAGCCCCGGCUAACUACGUGCCAGCAGCCGCGGUAAUACGUAGGGGGCAAGCGUUAUCCGGAUUUACUGGGUGUAAAGGGAGCGUAGGCGGCGAUGCAAGUCAGAGGUGAAAACCCGGGGCUCAACUCCGAGGACUGCCUUUGAAACUGCGUUGCUAGAGUGCAGGAGAGGCAAGCGGAAUUCCUAGUGUAGCGGUGAAAUGCGUAGAUAUUAGGAAGAACACCGGUGGCGAAGGCGGCUUGCUGGACUGAGACUGACGCUGAGGCUCGAAAGCGUGGGGAGCAAACAGGAUUAGAUACCCUGGUA
rnacentral:rRNA from 1 species